rnacentral:lncRNA from 1 species
AAAAAAUGCUUUUGUUAGCGGACGAAAAACGCUAUCUAAAAAUAUGAUAGCGGUUUAUGAAGCGCUGUAUCAUCGCCCGUCAUAAUAGGUCAAACACAUUAGAUAGCGGUUUUUGGUAUUGUUAUCUUAUUGUCAUAUAUUAUAGCGUUCUUUUGCGUGCAAUUAAAUAUUUUUUAAUAACGUUUUAUUUUUGCUAUUAUAUAUUAUUAAAAUAUAAAAAAAAAUUAAAAAAAAAAAGAAAAAAAAUCACAAAAUACAGUUAAAAUAUAUAAUAUAUUAAAUUAUUUUUACUAAAUAAUUGAAUUUGGUUUACAUAUUAAAGUAGGUUUACAAAAUUAACCUAAUUAAAAACAAACAAAAAACUAAACGUAAAAAAAAUAUACAGUUUACCGCUAAACCUAAAAACCCUAACUCCUCGUGCCUCCAUCUAUUUUGCCGCAGAGCUCCAACAGCCGCCUCCUUUACCGGAUCUGUCAACCACCAUCACGAACUCCUCCACCAUCGACGCUUCAAACCAAGCUGUCAGCCACGCCAUCUGCUUUCCUCCUCCAUCCUCGACGCUUCAGCCAUGCCGUCAGCCACGUCCUCCAUCGCCAAGCUCUCCGCCAGAUCAGGUCCUCAUCUGCCAUAUUCAUCCAUCCUCGACGCUUCAGCCAUGUCCUCCGUCGUCCUCCUCCAUAUUUUAUCUCUGUCAAUUGUCAGCAGCCUCUGCCUUCAUACAAACGAAUCAGAAUUGAUAUAGAAAAAGAACAAAAAGAUGGAAACUUGAGAGACAUUUGAGAGCGAAUAACAACUUACAACUGAGUUGAUUUGUUGUAGAGAGAAAUCACUCCGUGGAUUUUUUGUUGAUUUGUUGUUAACAGAGAAUCGUGAGAGAUGAGAAACUGUAAAGGAAGAAAGAAACAGAUGAGAUCUAUAGCGUGUGUGUGUGUGUGUGUGAUAGAUGGUGAGAGAUGAGGCUAGUGAAACCCAGAAUCUGAGACUUGUGAAAGAAAGAGAUCGAUAGAGUAUAGAGGAAGAGAAAUGAAAAGAUAGAUUAAUUCUUAUCCGUUGGAUUACAAGUAAUCAAUGGUUUAAAAUAUUAAUCCAAAUUUUGAGGAACUGACCAAUAAGAAGAAAGGUGGAAGAUCACAAAGGAGUGAUUUUGAGCCUUUGGAUCAAAAUCAAUCAAAGGCCAAAAAACAACUAAUAAAGAUUAUACUUUUUAUUUAUCUAUAAUUAUUUAAAAAUGUCAAAAUUUAAAUAAAUUUAUAUAGAAUUUUAACUAAAAGUUUUCCAUUUGAAUUUUGUGGUUAUGUGAUUUAAAAACUAAUUUGAUAAAAAGAUUUUAAAUGCUAGUAUUUCUUCUUUUUUGUUGUUUAUUUGUUUAGUGGUUUUUUAUUUUCGAAAUGUAUAAUGUAAAAUUUUAUAUGUUGUAUAUAAUUUGAGAAAUAUAUUAUAUAUACAUAUAUAUUAUAAAAUUAUAUUUUAUUUAAAGUUUGAGGUUUAGUGUUCUAUCACAUAGGUUGAAGUAUGUGGUUUAGGGUUUAUGGUUAAAGUUUGAAAAUAGAUAUAUUGCUUAAGAUUAAUUUUUUUUAAAAAAAGUUAAUUUUAAGAUUUGGAGUUUAAGUUUUCAAGUAUUAUAAAGCUUAUUGUAUUAGAAUUUAAAGUUUGUGUAUAGAGUUUAGGGUUUGAAAACUUGUUUAGGGUUUAGGGAUUCAAAAUAUCAAACAUAGCGUUUAGUUAUGAGUGUUACGGGAAUCAAUACAUAGCGUUUCUUACCUAAAGUGCUAUGUAAACUAUGUAUCAUAAAAUUUAAAAUCCAACCCAACUAAAGAUAGCGUUUUUAUUUUUAGAAACGCUAUCUAAAACUAAAAGAUGUAUCAACCAUAGCAGAAACGAAAAAAACGCUAUCCUACUCCGUUAUAAAAACUCAUUUUUCUUGUAGUGAACCCAAGAUUGUUAGUUUUAUUGAAAUAAACUUGUGAAGUAUGAUGACUUAUCAAGUUUAGUGCAAAGAUUAAGUAUAAGCCAUUACAUAAAAGAGUUGUUCAAAAAAGAAAAAAAAGUCAUUAUAGAAAAGAAAAUUAAAACUAUGAUCUGCUAGAAAAUGUCAACUUAAUUUUGAUGUCGGGUAUUUCUUUUAUCUUUGGGGUGAUUGGUCGGAGUGUAACUGUAGAAAUUUUAUUGUAAAAUUUAGGGUGUAGAAUUUUUUUAUUUAACUGUAAGUGAUGUAAUUUUAAAAUUGAUUACUACAGAAAUAUAUUUCAUACAUCUAAAAAUAUGAGGCUUCAAAAAACAAGGUUUCUACAGUUUUUUUUUUGCUGUAGUUUAAAAAAACAAGAUAAACCAUGAUUAGUGAUUUAAAAGUUGUAGAUUAAUAUUAAAGGUAAAGUUAGUUCCUAAUUCUGUUUAUUCUGUUAGACAUAUCUUAAUACGAAGAAGUAGUGACCAUAUAACAUGUGUAAUACGUUCUAAGCUUCUUCCGAAUUCCACGCAUUGAAAGCAAAAUUCUCGUUGUAAAUAAGGCUACGUACAAUCAUCACGGGUUGGAUUCAGAUUAAGCGCGCAUGCCACUCAUAGUAAGUCGUACUGAGCACCAAAAUAUAAAAAUAUUACACCAAACUCCAGCAUAUCGUCCUCACAAAGUCAAUAAUUUGGACGUUAACUUUUGAAAUGUUUUUACAAAUAUUGUAGGAAAUAUGAAGAAGAAAAAAGCAGCUUCUUGGUGUAGGUGUGGAAACAAACAACACAUAGACAUCAUUUGAUUGGUUUUGUGUUGCCGUAAUUUGUCCCAUCAUAUUUUACCCGAGAUGUGACAAUGAAGUGUUUGUAUAGAUUUUCUUACCCUCAUUUUUAAUGGGAUUCACCUUUAAAAUAAGGGGAUGAAGGGAUGGUUCUCUCACCGUCACUUUUAAAUUUAUUUUUGGAAAAAAAUAGAAAUUUACAUUUUAGUAUUUAAAAUUAUUAAUAAUUAACUAUAAUUACUAAACUUUCAAAAAUAAAUAAAAAUAAAACAUAUUAUUUGAAACAUAUUAAAAUAUAUUUUUUUGAAAAAAUAUAAUAAUAUGUAGUCAAAUGUAACUAUAAAUAGUACAAACAAUGUUAAUAAAAUAAUUUUAAUCAAAAUAAUUUUAAAAAUAUAUUACGAUACGUACUAAUAUAUGAUAUAUAAAAAUUUAUUCAUGCUAUUGUCAAAGAUAUAUAAUUGUAGGGACUAAACUAAAAAGUAAAUAGUGUUUUAAAGAGGUGAAUAGUAUACCCUCAAAUUUGAGGGUGUACUAUUUACCCCCUUAAAAUUUGAGGGCAUGAAGGAUUGUUGAAGUGUAAAACCUUUCAAAAAUUGAGGGAAUAGGGAUUGUUGGAGAGCUCUAAGUAACUUUGUUAACCAAUUAAAUAUGAAAAACUAAAGUCCAACAACAAUGUAUUAACAAAACAUGUUUUUCCAAAAUUGUACCUUUUUGUGAAAACUAAUUUUGUGGUGGUGUUACUAUAGUGAAAAUGGGAGAAAAUAAAAAAAAAGUGAGAAAAAGAGAAAAAACAGAAAAAAGAGUUUUUUUUUUUCUAAUAAGUAUCAAUCGAUCGAUUCCGAAAGGAAAUCACUUAGUGCUAUUGAGUAAACUAGCCUAGAAGCAAAUCACACAAUAUAACCAGAGUUGGAAUACCUUCUGACUAAUACCAAGGGAUAGACCGAUCAUCUGUUACGAUCCACCUUAUAAACCACUUUAACCGAAGCCCAAAUGCAGAUUGGCAAGUAGUAAUAGUUUAGUUUCUAAAGAGAAUUGAACCCAAAACUAAUGUAGUAUACACCAAGCUCCAAAAGAUUACCUUUAGGCUAGUUAGAAAAAAAAAAUUACACCCACUAAAACCUAACGCAAUGUGAGUAAGAUUUCUUUUGUUUUAAUAGUAACCGGAGUAAAUAUAGAAAAAUGCAAGUUUAAUUGAUUGGCUACUUCAUAGCAUAACUCGGAAUAACAAAUUUUCCAUUGAUAAAAGUUGCGCUACACAUACCAUUCAAACAAAGCGAAUAAGUGUGAAUGGUAAAUAGAGUAAUUAAGAGUAACUUAGGCUCCGAAUGGUAAUUGCGGUUUGAGCGGUGCGGGACAAGCGGUUCAACUGCGGUGCGGUUUUAACUGUUAUAAAAAUAUAUAGAUAUAUAAUAUAUGUAAAAAAAUUUGUUAUUGUUAACUGCGGGACGACAGUCACUAUUCGAAGCCUUAACAUGGAUGAGAGGAAAUGAGUGGAAAUCACGAGAGUAAAUAAAUGCAACUGUUUUUUCUCUUUACAAAUUGAAAGGAAAAAAGAACAGUGCAUUUACUACGAAUGGUAACUGCGAUUUGAGCGGUGCGGGACAAGCGGUUUAACUGCGGUGCGGUUUUAACAGUUAUAAAACGUAUAGAUAUAUAGUAUAUAUAGAGAUUUUUGUUAUUGUUAACUGCGGUGCAGGACGGGGCGGUUCGUAACAUUCGAAGCCUAACAGAAACUAGAGUUUUUUUUUAUUUGACUGGUAUUAAAGCAGCUGAAACAAGAAUAAAUCACUUUUCCAUUCAAAAUAUAUCGUUAUUUGUGUUAUAAAGUUAUAGUCAAUAUUUUUGAAUACAUUAGAUCAUUUCUAAUAUUACUAUACAUUUUAUUCCACAACAGAGUUAUUAUGAGAUUAAUUAUAUUUAUAGAGUAAGUUCACUUUUAUUUAAUUUUGGAGUAAAAUAUGUAGUGGGGUUGAAGAUACCUUUAAAACUUUACGUAUAAUAUGAUUUAUUGAAUAAUAACAAUUUAAAAUGUUAUCAUUUAAAUUCUAAAAAUUGAUUGUGCUGGUCAGAUUUGGUCUUAUAUACUUAGCCGGCCCAUAAACCAUUGCUAGAAAGUAUGUUCCCUAACUUACAUAAAUUUUGGCGUUGAUUCAUCACUUUAUGAUAGUCUUAUUGCAAAUACCAUUUAUUAUCAAAAAUGGAAGAAUCGAAAUUAAAACAUAAGUUUAAACUUUAAAGUACUAGUUACUUACACUUUCCUGUAAACGUUAGAUCGGCAGAUUUUCUCAAAAGGGCUAGUUCGUAUAAUUUAUCUCCUUAAAUUAAGAUAUGAGUCUCGUUAUGAUAUAAAUUUGGGAAAUAAUAAAGUUUUUGUUAAAAAUGAUAUUUGGUGAUCGACAUCUCGCCCAUACUUCUUUUUUUCUCACCUAUACACACACAACAAACACAACAUCUAUACACAAGCACAUAAAGUUAUUCAUUAACAUCUACAUUGCAUAUAUACAUAAAUCACAUCUACUGAAACUUCGUAUAGAUUUUGAAUUGUCCAUAUCUAAAUAGUAAAUUAAAAAUCACACUGUUAUAUCAUUAAUACACUUCGCCAUAUAUAUAAAAAAGGCAUGGUUUCACUCUUGAAGAACUCAAAUAUAUAACAUAACAAGAACCAUUGCGUUCAAGUUUACGAACAGAAGACAUUGUGUUUGUUGACCCAAAAAAAAAAGACAUUAUGGAAAGGUUAAACAUAAUUAAUAUGUGUACGAGUGAAAAAGGUAGAGAAUUUUGUCAACUAUCGGUAGCCCACACUAUCGAUGAACAUUGAUUGAGAUCAAUUGCACACCUUGUCUCCUUAAAUCUGUGUAGGUAGACAUAUAUAGAUCGAAGUAUUUAACCAAAUAGACAUUUUAUUUGUGUGUAAAAAUGACAAAAGAUAAAGGUCGAUUUGAUGUGUGAUAUGUCUUCACUACAAGAAAAAAGGCUUUUGUUAGCGGACGAAAAACGCUAUCUAAAAAUAUGAUAGCGGUUUAUGAAGCGCUGUAUCAUCGCCCGUCAUAAUAGGUCAAACACAUUAGAUAGCGGUUUUUGGUAUUGUUAUCUUAUUGUCAUAUAUUAUAGCGUUCUUUUGCGUGCAAUUAAAUAUUUUUUAAUAACGUUUUAUUUUUGCUAUUAUAUAUUAUUAAAAUAUAAAAAAAAUUAAAAAAAAAAGAAGAAAAAUCACAAAAUACAGUUAAAAUAUAUAAUAUAUUAAAUUAUUUUUACUAAAUAAUUGAAUUUGGUUUACAUAUUAAAGUAGGUUUACAAAAUUAACCUAAUUAAAAACAAACAAAAAACUAAACGUAAAAAAAAAUAUACAGUUUACCGCUAAACCUAAAAACCCUAACUCCUCGUGCCUCCAUCUAUUUUGCCGCAGAGCUCCAACAGCCGCCUCCUUUACCGGAUCUGUCAACCACCAUCACGAACUCCUCCACCAUCGACGCUUCAAACCAAGCUGUCAGCCACGCCAUCUGCUUUCCUCCUCCAUCCUCGACGCUUCAGCCAUGCCGUCAGCCACGUCCUCCAUCGCCAAGCUCUCCGCCAGAUCAGGUCCUCAUCUGCCAUAUUCAUCCAUCCUCGACGCUUCAGCCAUGUCCUCCGUCGUCCUCCUCCAUAUUUUAUCUCUGUCAAUUGUCAGCAGCCUCUGCCUUCAUACAAACGAAUCAGAAUUGAUAUAGAAAAAGAACAAAAAGAUGGAAACUUGAGAGACAUUUGAGAGCGAAUAACAACUUAC